rfam:Alteromonas australica strain H 17, complete genome.
ACAUCACCAUCACCACAUAGCAUAACCUUUCAGGUUCGUGCUGGAAGGUCUAUAUUUCCUUCCAGUGGCGCAGAUACCAAAUUCUCGGCCCUCGGAAGGAAACUUCCGGGGGUUUUUCAUU